AUUGAACGCUGGCGGCAUGCUUUACACAUGCAAGUCGAACGGUAACAGGCCGCAAGGUGCUGACGAGUGGCGAACGGGUGAGUAAUGCAUCGGAACGUGCCCAGUCGUGGGGGAUAACGCAGCGAAAGCUGCGCUAAUACCGCAUACGAUCUAUGGAUGAAAGCGGGGGGACCGUAAGGCCUCGCGCGAUUGGAGCGGCCGAUGUCAGAUUAGGUAGUUGGUGGGGUAAAGGCUCACCAAGCCAACGAUCUGUAGCUGGUCUGAGAGGACGACCAGCCACACUGGGACUGAGACACGGCCCAGACUCCUACGGGAGGCAGCAGUGGGGAAUUUUGGACAAUGGCGGCAAGCCUGAUCCAGCAAUGCCGCGUGCAGGAAGAAAGGCCGUCGGUUGGUUAACGUUAGUACGUUUAUUACUUAAGUAAGAAACCG
rnacentral:rRNA from 1 species